rnacentral:rRNA from 1 species
AGGAAUCUGCCUGGUAGUGGGGGACGAACGUUUCGAAAGGAACGCUAAUACCGCAUACGUCCUACGGGAGAAAGCAGGGACCUUCGGGCCUUGCGCUAUCAGAUGAGCCUAGGUCGGAUUAGCUAGUUGGUGAGGUAAUGGCUCACCAAGGCGACGAUCCGUAACUGGUCUGAGAGGAUGAUCAGUCACACUGGAACUGAGACACGGUCCAGACUCCUACGGGAGGCAGCAGAG